UAUAAUUUGUGUCAAAGUGCUGAAGCUCAUAUUGACACACAGUCUGGGUUACACGAGUGUGGACUAUGGAUUGUAAAUACAGAUGGACGACACAUCUCCACGUCCUCACGUCCUCCUACUCUCCAGAAAUGAAGCCAAAAUACCCAGGAUAUAUCAGCUUCUGUCUUGAGCUGAAGUCGUUAUUUGGAUCCAGAGUCUAUGCAGUAGCAAUCAGUGGGUGGAACCGCAGUGGAGGGGCCACUCGUAGAUUCGGUCAACCAAUUGAGAAAGCGUCUGGGCCAACAGGCUGAAACAAUGGAACAUCUGGACCUAAUGGAGAGAGGGCCACACAGACAUGGAGAAGUGAGGUCAGGCCGAUACUCCGAGAGGACAUUGAGUGCAGGUGGAGGACAUCACUGUUCAGGAGCAACCUAAGUUCGGCCUGGAUAAAUUAUUUUAAAAGGCAAAGCUAAAAAGAGUGAUUUUUUUUUCAACGGUAAAUGCUGUCGGGUCACACAUGCAAAUAAGUCUGUCGUUAAAACAAGGUUCUCCCGAACAAUCACUCUCUGUUAAACACAAUUGCCUUAUUUCCCCUCAGAGGAACAGCAGAGUGCCUGGAGUUGGCACUGACAUGUACUGUAGGACAACUGGAAAAUCCAUCAGCGUCAUGAAGGGGGGGCUAUAAACAGAGGAUCCACAAGGAGAAAAGGGGAAUGCAAACUGAAAUACAACCAAGUCCCUCCUCCAGUAUAAGAAAAUCUGGAGUUGGAUGGACUGGUCAAUUUACUGUUGACCUAGUUGGCAAAAUAUUUUGGCUCAUAGCGAACCAAUCUUGCGAGAAAAACAAAAGCAUUACAUAAGAUAACUAUUCUGCUACAUUCCAAAAGCAACAGUCUGGGUAAGUUCAUUGUUAGUGCCAAGGAGGCAAUGCAUAUAUUAGCUGAUAGUAUAAAGUGCUUCCCCAUCAAGUCUCUCUCAAGUAAACUCAGGUAAACACUUUUCCUGUGAGACACUCACCGUUUUGGGAACUGAUUUUACAGAUGAGAUUAUUUGCUUCCUGUUUAGAGCAUGGAACAUGAAAAUAAAAGUUUUCCUUACGAA